rnacentral:rRNA from 1 species
UACGGAGGGUGCAAGCGUUGUUCGGAAUUAUUGGGCGUAAAGCGCGUGUAGGCGGCUUUGCAAGUCGGGUGUGAAAGCCCUCGGCUCAACCGAGGAAGUGCGCCCGAAACUGCAGAGCUUGAGUACCGGAGAGGAUGGCGGAAUUCCCCAAGUAGAGGUGAAAUUCGUAGAUAUGGGGAGGAACACCGGUGGCGAAGGCGGCCAUCUGGACGGAUACUGACGCUGAGACGCGAAAGCGUGGGUAGCAAACAGG